AGCUUUGCACAGUGGCAGUAUUGUAGCCAAUGAGGUUUAUCUGAGGCGCGAUUAUUGCUAAUUGAAGUACCCAGAUAAUGGUAUCUGAUGCACAUUUCGAGUUCUUUUACAGAUAUGAAAACCAUGUCCUGGCUAUUGUAAAUAGAGCUGCAGUGAACACUGUGGUACAUGAUUCUUUUUGAAUUAUGGUUUUCUCAG
rnacentral:snRNA from 1 species